rnacentral:rRNA from 1 species
UGCGUAGGUGGUUCCGUAUGUCAGAUGUGAAAUGCCACGGCUUAACUGUGGAACUGCAUUUGAAACUGCGGGGCUAGAGUGCAGGAUGGGAGAGUGGAAUUCUUGGUGUAGCGGUGAAAUGCGUUGAUAUCAAGAAGAACACCGGUGGCGAAGGCGGCUCUCUGGAAUGCAACUGACACUGAGGCACGAAAGCUGGGGGAGCAAACAG